GUUCUUCUACUUUAACUGCCAGGUCUACCUCGGCGUAAGAUUUGCAAACACCCACAUGAAGGUAAUUUAACACUCACAGAGGGACUUUAAGCGGAGGCUCAAGUUUUCAACGCCUCAAAAAAGCGGGGAAAACUUGUCGAAACGCGAUCAUUGGUGGUCUCUGAUGAGAGUGCAAGAGGGAGAGUGCGAAACGCGCUGAGGAUGACGCUUGCUAGCUCAAGCAAGCGUACCAGGAGGUGGAGCAUCGUUAUCAAGCAGAGAUCUUGGGAGUAAUAACCACCGCCAUGCAGGUUUCGGUAUUUAUGAAGCAUUUUGAAGCUUAGGGAACGGUGAGUACGGUAACCUGUGUGCAUAACCUGAAAUCAGGCCAACAUGCAAGUGUAAGAUGCUGUCAGUGCAUGAAAAUAUGCUUCACGUUCCUUCGCAUCAGUCACAAAUGUGACUUCAAAUUCGAAGUUGAGAGGAUCUACGCUUGAGUAGAUGUUGGGGAUUGGUGGAAUGCCUGUUACUAUAUCUUAAAGCUCAGUAAAACGGCAUCCCAAGUUGGUUAAAUACUUACAUUUUGAAGGGUCAUAGAAAAGUUGGAUGUGUCUAUUUGGAUGUUGUCUUAUGUUAUGCUGAAAUGGGCGGAUAACUGUGAAGCUCUCGGUACAUGCACCUCCAAGACGGGUGAAACUGAAGUUGAUGAAAAGAAUUGCUGCUGAGCUUAGUUGUGCUUAUAUUUAAUGAUUAGCUGUUAGUAUAAACGGAAUAUCCAUGCGAGCUCCCUGACAUUCCUGAUCAAUUUCUUAUGCAACGAUUGUGUAGUUAAUUGUCUCUCUCUCCCUCUUUCUUCUAAAUAGAUCAUUCAGUGUGCAGGGUGGAUCCAGUUAUUUCCUUGGAGCGAAUGUGAUGCCGCUUCCUGAAUUCGCUUUCUCAUAAUCCGUUGUGGCCUCCGCUGCCUUCUGACUUGUUUGGAUAGUCUUUGCCUAGAUCUUUAUUUGAGGACCAGCAGAAAUACCAAGUCCCACUUAAGAACGUCCCUUCACCUACGAAGUAUGAGCCUCUUUCACCUUAAGUCAAUCACGUUCGAAAGGUGGACACGGUUAAUCAGGUGUCACGUGUUUCAAAGGGCACACUUAUUCAAUUGUGAAAUCUAAUACUUCGAGAGAUAUGUACGUCUCGACGAAGGAUUAGAUCUCACGUUUAAAUAAGUGCGCCCUUUGGUGAUCUACGAUUAGUGGUGAUUUUGUCUACUGAGCAUCUGAGUAACCCAUAAGUCAGAACUCGAUUACUUUAGGUUUGAAUGGUGAUGGCGAUGAUGAUGACGACGACGACGACGACGACGAUGAGAAUCUUAGUGUGCAAGUAAAUUUCAUUCCAUUACAGAUGACCAAACGAGGAAUUCGAUACCAGCACUGGCAAGGCCCAGUGAUGGCGAUACCGCAUUUCGACCGAUUCUGAGACAUCUAGCGGAGUAGAAGUCCAACCAUUACGUAAUCAAAUUUUUGCUAUGAUUUUCAAAUCUUCAAACUUCGAUCCAUGAAGGGUAUCCAUUUUUAUGACGAAGGAUUACUUGCGGAAGUCAGUGAGCCUUCGCGUCUCAGGAGUUUCUCGAAACCAGCACAGUCUGAUGAUGAAGAUGAGAAGGAUGCUUCACCACUGGUGAUUAAACCGAGACUUGCCUUGUAAACUUGCCAAACCAGACUUUGGCUGUUCGUUAGACACAGCAAUACUUAUUCUCGUUAUCCAGUACUGAAAGGAUUUCAAUAGAAUUCUUCUCCGAGGACGAAUGACUUGGAGGCGUAGUUCGAGGCUCUAGAAGUCUCUGAAUCCAAUGGUCUGGUAUAAAACUUGCACACGAGAAACGUAGUCCUCCUUUGACUGGAGGUUGUCAUCACAUGAACGGAUUAUUCCAUCACCAUUUUCCA